rnacentral:rRNA from 1 species
UACAGAGGUCUCGAGCGUUGUUCGGAUUCAUUGGGCGUAAAGGGCGCGUAGGCGGCGGGGUAAGUCUGGUGUGAAAUCUCGGAGCUCAACUCCGAAAUUGCACUGGAUACUGCUCUGCUAGAGGGCUGGAGAGGAGAUCGGAAUUCCAGGUGUAGCGGUGAAAUGCGUAGAUAUCUGGAGGAACACCGGUGGCGAAGGCGGCAUCCUGGACCGGCAUUGACGCUGAGGCGCGAAAGCCAGGGGAGCAAACGGG